AAUGACUGCAAAAUUUUUUAACAGGAGAGACAGAAAAGAAAGAAAAAACCUUUAAUGAACAGAGCCGUAGGCAACCAACCACUAGAACUAUGUAUGACUUUCAAAGGAAUUAUACAUCUGUGUUUACAGUCCAUCUCUUUAAGUAUCCUAAUCACUGUAGGAAUACCUAUCCCUUUCUUUUGGCUGAAUUUACUUAUAUAAAGUAAGUUUUCCUAAAUUGGCACUGCAUGUGCAUGCAAUGAAGGUACAAGAUUCAGCAGACUAAGGCAGAACAAGGCACAGGAAAUCAAAGAUUGAUGUGUCAGUGGAGUGAGGUGUUAGCCCUACAAGGUGUGAAAUUAUAAUGAACUCUUCUGUGCAAAAGAAACACUGGCAGAUGUUGGAUGGCUCUGCAGUCCUCACUGUGUCCCUCUGAGAUGACACUGCUAUUAUUUUAUUCAAAUGAGUAAUCUGAAGGGUUUUUAAGGGUUGAUAUGCAUAUGUUGUUCUGCUAAACAGUGUGUUGCUGUUGGUUAAAAGGCAGAAAUUAAGUUUAGUGUAGAAGUGUAGAUGAAGGCCAGGAAUGGCCAUUAGAUCAGCUAAAAUCAGUAUUUCUCCUCCUGGGUUGGGCUGCUGGAAUGAGAAGCCCAUGGGGGUGCUCUUCUAGCUGUGGCUGAGCUGUUCUUUGCCACCUGUACUCAGGUGUAGCAGGGCAGCAUUGCAGUCCUUGGAACACAGCACACACUGUAGCUCUGCUGGCUUCAUGCAAAUGCCUGAAACCAAGAGGUUUUCACAAAGAAAUAGCCCACAAAGGUAUUACAGAAAUCCUUUAGAGCUAUAGAAUCUGGAUUUGUUCAAACUCAGAAGCUAGCUGGAUUUCGUUUGAUACAUAGUGAUUCAAAGAUUUUAAUUUUUGUACUGGUAGUCUCCCAGUCGUGAUGGGCUAAAUGCCAAGGAGCAUCUCAAAUAAAAUUUGUUUGGAAAUUAAACACGUUUAUUAUCUUGGUGGCAUCAUUUCUGCCAUGAAAUUUUCAUUAGAUUAACAAGUUUAUUCACCGGGAUUUGCAAAACCAAGUUUUCAUUUUUCAGUUACUGUCCUAAAGAUAAUUCAAAGGUUUUUCUUUCAAUCUAUAAUGGGAAGCACCAGCUGAACCCUGAUGUUUCCCCAUGUAAUUUGCUAUGUUUCUUACAGAAGAAAAGACAGAAAAUGGGACCAUGAAAAAGUACAAAGAGCUGCUGUUAUAGAAUUUCUAACUUACAGUAAGAAAUGUAAUUCUAGAAAAAUGACAAUUCACCUAUGAACAGUAGCGGUUCAAAGGAAGAACAGGUGGAAAUAAAGUGAGAAUGAGCAUGUGAGUCUUGCUUUAAACACUUUGUGGUGAAUGGUGUUACUCUGUCAAGUCAUUGCAUGAUUAUUCAUGUUUGGGAGCAAAUAAAAAUAUUGAAGUUACCUAUGUGAUGGCAGGAGCUGUUGAUGAUUGACAGAUCUGUUUCUAUACAUGUGUCUUUGGUAUUUUUACUGCUUUUUAUUUUGGUAUGUGAUGCUGAUAUUCUGGGGCAUGAUUAAGAUGUUUUAUAUGCAAAUACAUUUCCUUCUAGAACCUUAAAAUAUGUAUGUCAUACAUGACUGGUUUAUAUGUUAAUGGCUUCUUGAGAAAAGUUUAGCUCCAGAAAUUUUUCUAUUUAUGUUGGAUUUGCCUUCAGGAAAUUUAUUUGAAAGUGGAAUUGUGAUGAAAGAACACCUUUCAUGCACCGAAUUACCAAGUACAUUCAUUUCCCUGCAAGGAUGUUUUCUACCUGAGUACUAAAGCAUCCACAGGCUAUCCCCAGGCAGAGACAAGGCAGGAGGCUGCUCAGCAUGAGGGAGUUCUGAAACAUCAAAUGAACUACAACACCACCUGUGAAGUUCUCCCUGCAAAUGUUAAGAUGAACUGACUGGGAAAUAUUAACAGCAGGCAACUGCAAGAGCAAUGAAGAAAAUGUUCUUUCUUUAAGCUCUCCAGGCUAUGUCUCUGUCAGAACACCAGCUAAACACAAGAUCAAACCUUCAUGCAAAGAUAACAAGUCACUAAAGGUCACCCAGAUAUUUACAUCUUGUGGUUGAUGUGUUAAGUGUGAUAUUCAACUGGGUAAAAGAUUUACUUCUCAUCCUUAUCCUCUCAUCCACACAGGCUGAAUUUUUGCAGCAUUCAAUUCCUCUGUAAGAAACCAGACUGGGAAGGAAAAAAAUUGUAAACAACAUUUCUGUGGGCUCUUUGUGAACCUCGCAAGGACUCAAUAUCACCAAGGUGACUAAAGAGCUGCCUGAGGGAAAGUGGGACACUUCACAGCAGGCUUUUGUAGAAAAAAUCACUUAAACUGCAACAGAACUACGCAAAUGGAAGUGUCAGCCCUGGAAUCACAACCUACAAGACAUAUUUGCUUUCUUAGGUUGUUCUACUAGUCUGUGUACAGGUAACCUUCAUUUCUGUGUCUUUCACACUGUGAUUUUAAGUAGCUGAGCUGUACCACAGUGUUGGGAAAAAAAAAACCCAAAAUGCUAAUUUAUUAUCAGAUUAUAAAUGAACCAGUCCUGACAUUGGCAAAUUUGUCUGAAAUAUCAAAAGCAAAAAAUGCAAAAAAAUUCCAGCAGUCAUCAAGAGAUAUAAAUGUAACAACAAUAAUGCAGGUUUUAAUUUUCAUCCAUGGCUUUAUAUAAUUUUAGCUAAAAUGUGUCUGUGGGUGUCCUUCUGGCUUAAAGAACUGUUUAUCUUUGAAUGUAGAGUUAUUAAAAAUAUACCUAACUGGUCCAGGCCAGUAAGUGCAUUGUGUUAAGUAGGUUAGUGCUGUCAUGUAGCUGUGAAACUGUUAUACAGCUUGCUUUUUACAGUGUUUAUUAAGCUAUUUAAUUUUAGCAGUAACAUUCACAUUUUUGGGGGUAAUUUAAAUAAAAAAACUUAGCUGAAACAUUGGCCAUGAAGAAUAAGAAUAUUUAAGUUUGCUAUGGCCUUUAACAGUCAAUAAAAGGUCAAUUUUGUAUAUGACAGUGAACAUGCAGUAUGAUUUUUGUCACUAACUUUUCUCAAAGAUAAGUGUGCCAUAAUGUUUUUGAUUUUCAGCUGGCCAUGUGAAAAGGGGUCAUCUAUUGAAUAAUGGUAAAAUGAGUUUAAAACUUAAGAGAAGGGGAGAAAAAAAUUUUCCUUACGGGUUGUCCAGCAGUAAUACAAUGGGGUUUAGUUCCUUCUUUGGCCGGUAAUAAGCUCUGAGUGGGACAAUGAAGUUGUAUAAGCCAUUUCCAGCAGUUUCUGCUGCAACUAUAAUCAAUUUAUUUUUGAAUCCAUAGGCUUUGGCAUCUUCAUAGUAAUUAUGCUGGCAUCCCUAAAAUCAAAGUAAGAAACAAGUUCAGUGGAUGUGAAUAUUGUAUUAGAUGACCCAAUAGAGACCUGGUUAGCCAUAAACACUAGGUGAUGAAAAGGAGUAGAAAAAUAUAGUAUUAUACCAAACACUGCACAAACUUCAUCUCUAAGGAAAAAUCAGAAUAUAGCUCUGCUCAGAUGCAAGAGACAAAUGAGAAUGCAGGGUUACCCAGUAGCAUAAACUUCCUUUACCUUAUCUAGUCUUAGACAACAGAAGGGUACUUUUUCAUGUAGAAGAUGACAAAAGGUGGGAGAACUUCCAAUAUAAGGAGAGUAAGGAGGAUAGCCUUUGGCAUACCUAAAAUAGGAAAAAAAAAAACAUUUUUCAGUAUAGCAAAUUACCAAAACACAACUCUCUACACAAAUGUUUUAUGGGAUGUUCAUACAUAUGUCCAAGUUUUAGAUCAAGUAUACAAAACGAACUAUGUUUAACAGAGGUUUAAAGAACGUAUUUGCAUCCAGUUCAACAGAAUUUAGUGAAAGCUGCCAUGCUUUUGGGGACUGAAGGAAUUUUGCUUGGGUUUUUGAAAAUCCUCUAUUGUAUCACAGUAUGCUGCCAUAGUGUUUUGAGCUGGAAACCUCUAAGUUAAAAAAGGAAGGAAAGAAAACAGAAAUAACUGUACUUCUCCUCUUCCUUCUCCAAUUUUUUUUUUCAAACAUUUACCAAGAAUGAGUGAUGUUAUUACCUUUUAGCUUUAAUAAUGUACUUUCAGAAGGGCUGAAAUAAAUUCUAAAUGGCAAAUCCUCUUCCCAGUGAUGUGAAAUUUCUAAUUGGCUUAGUGGUUUUUUUACAGGAGACCUUUUAAAUCCUGUUGUUUCAGUCUGAACAUUUAAGAUGACUUGUCCUAUUAAUUUUUUCUCUGGAGCUUGAUAAUCUUCCCUGGGGCUUCUCACGCUUGCCACUGGUGGAGAUGAGAAACGCUGCUGGUUGAGGCAUUGGCUAAAUUGUGUAUUUCAGUUUUAACACCCCUGUCAACAAUCCCAAUAAACAUAAUUGCUCAUA